rnacentral:lncRNA from 1 species
UCCUUAUCUUGGAUCUGCUGCUUAUUCAUGGUGACAUAGGAAUAUUUGUCACGGAAUUCUUUGACAAUUUUGUUCCAAGCUUCACUUGUCCAACCAUUUUGGCCAUGGUAAUGUGGAUUGUUGUGCUCAUGAAGUAGAUCAACUAAAGCCUUCUCUAAUCCUGGAUUCCAUGAAGCCCUUGGCUGUUGAGCUAUUAGACAAAAUUAGA